GGCAGAAAGGAGUGGGACUUGGAAGUCUAGGGCACUUGAGGUCGUGGUGUCUCUAGGAGGAUUUGAAAUGAACCUGUAGCUCUAUUGUUCAUAACACCUUUUAGGUGUUAUUAGUCCUCCUGAUGGGUUCUGUAGACAGCAGAAGUGUGCAGGGAGAGUCUUCAAGGCAUUCUGCUAUAUCUUUGAAACAGGAAGAGCACAGUCAGACACAGUAUUUGUAAAAGGAGCCCAGACAAAUGAACAGGAGGCAUUCUGAUCCCAGUGUUAUUUUGCUUUUUUGAUACAUCCAGAAGUUCUAACUGACAAAAGAGGUUCACUGGACAGCAUGUUCUACAAACAGAUGACAUGAAACUUUAUGAUCACAGGAGGAUUUGCACUUUAAGAGGGCAGGAGGAGGAGAAGAAGACAAGAACUGAAGUUAUUUGCUUGAGGU